rnacentral:rRNA from 1 species
AGCAGCCGCGGUAAUUCCAGCUCCAAUAGCGUAUAUUAAAGUUGUUGCAGUUAAAAAGCUCGUAGUUGAAUUUCGGGGUCAGUAGGUUGGUCGUGCCACCGGUACGUACUGGUCUCACUGAUUCCUCCUUCCUGAAGAACCGUAAUGCCAUUAAUUUGGUGUUGCGGGGAAACAGGACUGUUACUUUGAAAAAUUAGAGUGUUUAAAGCAGGCUAACGCUUGAAUACAUUAGCAUGGAAUAAUGAAAUAGGACGAUCGAUCCUAUUUUGUUGGUUUCUAGGAUUGACGUAAUGAUUAAUAGGGAUAGUUGGGGGCAUUAGUAUUCAAUUGUCAGAGGUGAAAUUCUUGGAUUUAUUGAAGACUAACUACUGCGAAAGCAUUUGCCAAGGAUGUUUUCAUUAAUCAAGAACGAAAGUUAGGGGAUCGAAGACGAUCAGAUACCGUCGUAGUCUUAACCAUAAACUAUGCCGACUAGGGAUCGGAUGAUGUUAAUUUUAUAAUGACUCAUUCGGCGCCUCGC